AUGAACGCUAGCUACAGGCUUAACACAUGCAAGUCGAGGGGCAGCAUGGUCUUAGCUUGCUAAGGCCGAUGGCGACCGGCGCACGGGUGAGUAACACGUAUCCAACCUGCCGUCUACUCUUGGACAGCCUUCUGAAAGGAAGAUUAAUACAAGAUGGCAUCAUGAGUCCGCAUGUUCACAUGAUUAAAGGUAUUCCGGUAGACGAUGGGGAUGCGUUCCAUUAGAUAGUAGGCGGGGUAACGGCCCACCUAGUCUUCGAUGGAUAGGGGUUCUGAGAGGAAGGUCCCCCACAUUGGAACUGAGACACGGUCCAAACUCCUACGGGAGGCAGCAGUGAGGAAUAUUGGUCAAUGGGCGAGAGCCUGAACCAGCCAAGUAGCGUGAAGGAUGACUGCCCUAUGGGUUGUAAACUUCUUUUAUAAAGGAAUAAAGUCGGGUAUGGAUACCCGUUUGCAUGUACUUUAUGAAUAAGGAUCGGCUAACUCCGUGCCAGCAGCCGCGGUAAUACGGAGGAUCCGAGCGUUAUCCGGAUUUAUUGGGUUUAAAGGGAGCGUAGAUGGAUGUUUAAGUCAGUUGUGAAAGUUUGCGGCUCAACCGUAAAAUUGCAGUUGAUACUGGAUAUCUUGAGUGCAGUUGAGGCAGGCGGAAUUCGUGGUGUAGCGGUGAAAUGCUUAGAUAUCACGAAGAACUCCGAUUGCGAAGGCAGCCUGCUAAGCUGCAACUGACAUUGAGGCUCGAAAGUGUGGGUAUCAAACAGGAUUAGAUACCCUGGUAGUCCACACGGUAAACGAUGAAUACUCGCUGUUUGCGAUAUACAGCAAGCGGCCAAGCGAAAGCGUUAAGUAUUCCACCUGGGGAGUACGUUCGCAAGAAUGAAACUCAAAGGAAUUGACGGGGACCCGCACAAGCGGUGGAGCAUGUGGUUUAAUUCGAAGCAACGCGAAGAACCUUACCAAGUCUUGACAUCCCGGUGACAAAGUAUGUAAUGUACUCUUUCUUCGGAACACCGGUGACAGGUGGUGCAUGGUUGUCGUCAGCUCGUGCCGUGAGGUGUCGGCUUAAGUGCCAUAACGAGCGCAACCCUUGUUGUCAGUUACUAACAGGUUCCGCUGAGGACUCUGACAAGACUGCCAUCGUAAGAUGUGAGGAAGGUGGGGAUGACGUCAAAUCAGCACGGCCCUUACGUCCGGGGCUACACACGUGUUACAAUGGGGGGUACAGAGGGCCGCUACCACGCGAGUGGAUGCCAAUCCCCAAAACCUCUCUCAGUUCGGACUGGAGUCUGCAACCCGACUCCACGAAGCUGGAUUCGCUAGUAAUCGCGCAUCAGCCACGGCGCGGUGAAUACGUUCCCGGGCCUUGUACACACCGCCCGUCAAGCCAUGGGAGCCGGGGGUACCUGAAGUGCGUAACCGCGAGGAGCGCCCUAGGGUAAAACUGGUGACUGGGGCU
rnacentral:rRNA from 1 species